rnacentral:lncRNA from 1 species
CUCCUGGUGUAUUUGUUUGGAAAGUUUGCAUUUCACAUGUCAAGUUUUGUACAGACCAGCUCCAUGGUACUAUUCGGUGACAUAAUCAUAGCAACAAUAACAAUAAGCUUGUUUCUCGGGCUUUUGUAUUUAAGGUCAGGCUGGUUUAAACCCAUAUAGAAAUCAAGCAGUUCUCAGAACUUGGCAGGGUAGGGAGAGCUGUGAAAGAUGGAGGUGCAGGUGAAGAGCAGGCUUGGAGAAGGACCCGGAUGUGAGCAGUCACAGCCUGAGUGAGUGUCCAGAGUGAGGCCAGAGCCAUACAGAAGAUCAGAGGGUCAAAGGUAUUGUCUGCUGGGCAACCAGGAGUUCAGCAAACACCUAGCCAGAUUAAUGCAAGGUCAUGGGUAACAGGAAAGACAAGGAGUAAGGAACAAAAAAAUUAGUCGGUGCCCGAGGGCACAUGGGUCAUUCUCCAGGAAAGCUAUCACUAAGAAGGAGCUUUUAAUACUGAAGCUAUCUCAUCAGCUAAGAAGCCCCAUUACCUGCUGGGACAGCAGCCAAGACCUCGGAGAGGCUCCCCGGCCUACAGGCCCUGGCGGAACUGAGCUCCUUCCCAGCCUCCUGGAAGCCUGCAGAAGCCAAGACAGAAGCACACUGGUGGCUGGCCACAACUCCAGGCUCCUGAGUUUGCCAGACUCCAAAGAGACUGGGGCUCCCUUAGCAUUAGGGGAGAGGCUGGGUUUCCCCAGAGAAGGUUCUGGUCCCUGGCCUGGAUACGUGUAGGGGCACAGAACAUGUAGGGGUACAGAAGCAGUGUGGCACCCCAGGGAGAAAUGUCUUAAGAAGAAACCACAGUGUCUUUAAAAAUGCUCAUACUGAAUAUUACUACAGACUCCUCUGUAGGCCAGAGACCUUCCCAGGAGCAAGGCGGUGCCCCCCUCAGUCAGCGGAGUCUAUAGCACUCCCACCACUUGUGUUGAAGGUGAUGGGUUACAUUCAAAUAAUCAUGCGAGUGCCCUAGUUUCCAGCCCCAAUUCUUUGUGACUUUGUGUAUGGGUAUGUUUCCUAAUGUCAAAAGCAACUAGAACUUCAACACCUUACUUAAAAAUAGAAUUAUCUGUGCAUCUCUGUGAGUCUUCCCUCAUGGGUCUUUUCUACUUUCUCCUCUCACGGCGUUUGGUGACUUACUCUGUAAAGGUUGUUAACUUUAUUACUUAACACAUGCCAAGUUAAGGCUCCCAACAAAAUAAACUUCUAGUGUAUUAGUAAGUAGAUGACUGU